GACGAACGCUGGCGGCGUGCUUAACACAUGCAAGUCGAACGGAAAGGCCCUGCUUUUGUGGGGUGCUCGAGUGGCGAACGUGUGAGUAACACGUGAGUAACCUGCCCUUGACUUUGGGAUAACUUCAGGAAACUGGGGCUAAUACCGGAUAGGAGCUCCUGCUGCAUGGUGGGGGUUGGAAAGUUUCGGCGGUUGGGGAUGGACUCGCGGCUUAUCAGCUUGUUGGUGGGGUAGUGGCUUACCAAGGCUUUGACGGGUAGCCGGCCUGAGAGGGUGACCGGACACAUUGGGACUGAGAUACGGCCCAGAAUCCAACGGGAGGCAGAAGUGGGGAAUAUUGCACAAUGGGAGGAAGCCUGAUGCAGCAACGCCGCGUGCGGGAUGACGGCCUUCGGGUUGUAAACCGCUUUCGCCUGUGACGAAGCGUGAGUGACGGUAAUGGGUAAAGAAGCACCGGCUAACUACGUG
rnacentral:rRNA from 1 species